rnacentral:rRNA from 1 species
UACGUAGGGGGCAAGCGUUGUCCGGAAUUAUUGGGCGUAAAGAGCGUGUAGGCGGUCCGGUAAGUCAGCUGUGAAAGUCAAGGGCUCAACCCUUGAAUGCCGGUUGAUACUGUCGGGCUAGAGUCCGGAAGAGGCGAGUGGAAUUCCCGGUGUAGCGGUGAAAUGCGCAGAUAUCGGGAGGAACACCAGUGGCGAAGGCGAGUCCCUGGACAACUCCUGACGCUGAGGCACGAAAGCGCGGGGAGCGAACGGG